rnacentral:misc_RNA from 1 species
CAUGUUGAAAAUGAUGAAUCAUGGCAUCCGCUUUCUGAGAAAAUAUAUAGGAGCUUGGAUAGCAUUACAAGAACACUGCGUUUCACUGUACCUUUCCCAAUGCUUGCAUACCCUGUCUAUCUUUGGACUAGAAGCCCUGGAAAAACUGGUUCUCACUUUCAUCCAGACAGCGACUUGUUUGUGCCAAAUGAGAGAAAGGAUGUGAUCACUUCCACUGUAUGUUGGUCGGCCAUGGCUGCUUUGCUAGUAGGUUUAUCUUUUGUAAUGGGUCCCAUUCAACUGCUUAAGCUCUACGGUAUCCCAUACUGGAUAUUCGUUAUGUGGCUGGAUUUUGUAACUUACUUGCAUCACCAUGGUCACGAAGAGAAACUUCCUUGGUAUCGAGGAAAGGAAUGGAGUUAUAUGAGAGGAGGGCUUACGACACUUGACCGCGACUAUGGAUGGAUUAAUAACAUCCAUCAUGAUAUUGGAACUCAUGUCAUUCACCACCUCUUUCCUCAAAUCCCUCA